rnacentral:tRNA from 1 species
GGGGUUGUGGCUCAGUGGUAGAGCGCUUGCCUAAUACACGUGAGGCACUGGGUUCAAUCUCAGCAACACAU